CAGCAUUGACAUUGAAUUUCCACAGCUGUGUCCCACCCUGAAAUGAAAUCAGCCUCCAGAGGAGAGGGGCUGGCUGAAAUACUUGGCUGUGGAGCUGUUCAUUCAUCUGGAGAGAUGGGUUCAACAGGAGGAGAAUCCAAACCCGGUGUGAAGGAGAGGUGCUGGUGUGGGAGUCUGCAAGGAGUGGAAAUGCACCAGCAAGGUGCAGCCUCCGUGGAGGGAAAGAGAAUUUGCCUUCAUUUGUGUCCAGAACCACAGAGCUGAACUUGUGAUUCUCUGAGGACCACAGUGAGCUGGAGGAAGGUAGCAGCCCUUACCCUUUGCCCUUCUUGUCCCAGGAGCAGCAGGGAGGACAAGCCAGCCACCAGCUCUCUUCUAGGGGAUAACAGAAAGGCUCUGUUUGGUUUGUUGGGAACAGAAGAAGAUUUGCUGACAUUUCCAGAGGAUGAGGACGUUUCCAUGCCAGGCACCUCUCCAGGGAAAGAAGAAUGUUUUUGCAUCUUCUCCUGGAAGAUUGAAAUUCCCCAUCUCCCUGGCUUCUCUGUGCUAGUUGAGAUGGGAGGAUCUUUCCUGAGCCAGUGACCUGGAGAGGAUCAGUGAUAGUCCCCUAACUCCACUGGCUACAUCUGGACAGACCUGGAGGAGAUGAGCGUGUCACUCCCACCUUUGAGUGCAGCUGAGCGUUGCCUGAUGGAGCGAUGAGACACCCAAUGCUACAAAAUCAAGGUGAGGAGCUCUGAGACUCCUGGAGCCACAGCAAAUUCCUAAUGAAGAGGGAAGAGUGGGGUAAGUGGAGACAUUGCCUUUGCACUGGGUUACAUGUCCCUAC